AAUCAACGCUGGCGGCGUGCCUAACACAUGCAAGUCGAACGAGAAAGUGGAGCAAUCCAUGAGUAAAGUGGCGCACGGGUGAGUAACACGUGACUAACCUACCCUUGAGUGGGGGAUAACCUAGGGAAACCUGGGCUAAUACCGCAUAAUACCUACGGGUCAAAGGAGCAAUUCGCUUUAGGAGGGGGUCGCGGCAGAUUAGUUAGUUGGCGGGGUAAUGGCCCACCAAGACGAUGANCUGUAUCCGGCCUGAGAGGGCGCACGGACACACUGGAACUGAAACACGGUCCAGACUCCUACGGGAGGCAGCAGUGGGGAAUUUUGCGCAAUGGGGGAAACCCUGACGCAGCAACGCCGCGUGGAGGAUGAAGACCCUUGGGUCGUAAACUCCUUUCGAUCGGGACGAUAAUGACGGUACCGGAAGAAGAAGCCCCGGCUAACUUCGUGCCAGCAGCCGCAGU
rnacentral:rRNA from 1 species